rnacentral:lncRNA from 1 species
AAACUAGAAGCCAUCCAUCAGAAGCUGACCAACCUGACGAAUUCAACUCCCCUACAUACUUCCUCUACGCCAAGAGAAGAAGAGAGAAGAGAGGAAGAAUAGCAAAGAAUCAAAAGAACCGGCUUCAAUGGCUUCACCAGCAGCUCAGUAGAUCAAUGGUGAAAACUAGAAUACCAACUUGAUAGAAGAAUGUAAUAGUAGAUCAAUGGUGAAAACUAGAAUACCAACUUGAUAGAAAAAUGUAAUGUACAAUGGUGAUCCCUAGCAUUAGGUGGCAAGGGGUCAGCGCUGGUCAUCAUUUUCACCGUCCCAACAUUUCCUAAUGC